AGCUGCAACUCGAGUGCAUGAAGCUGGAAUCGCUAGUAAUCGCGGAUCAGAAUGCCGCGGUGAAUACGUUCCCGGGUCUUGUACACACCGCCCGUCACACCAUGGGAGCCGGUAACGCCCGAAGUCAGUGGCCCAACCGAGAGGGGGGAGCUGCCGAAGGCGGGACUGGUAACUGGGGUGAAGUCGUAACAAGGUAAC
rnacentral:rRNA from 1 species